CCCCCAUGCCUCCUUGGAACACCUUUGUUUCUCAUGUCACAUCAGCAUAGUCCUACAAACAAUGAAGGAAAAAGAGCAGACUGUAUGCAGUCUCAUUGGACAUCAAUUCAUUAGGACCACUAUUAUUUCUUGAGCCAGAACUUAUUUUCAUAAUUUUUAAAAAUGUACCAAUUUUAAUAAAACAGGUCUCAAAGAAUUAAUGAAGACAUUUAGUAUGACAUCAUUAAGAACUGUUCCAGGAACCUCGCCCAGGCAUUUGAUGGGCUGUCUGACCUUGAGCAAGCAAGCAAACUGGAAUUGGCCAGGAAUCAACGAAUUGCAAUCAGCUCCCACCAGGAUAAACCAGAAUUCUUUAUCUCCCUUACAAAUAUUGUGCUUUUAGGUAAGAUCCUCUAAGUCAAUACAUUAAGCUUUUACCCUUAUCUAGACAGAAAUUGGUAUAGUAUGAAAUCCUGUAGCUCUCAAUUUCUCUUGUUGGCAAAAUGGAAGUCAGUAGACUUGAGUUCUAACUCCAACAAAUGAUAUUCAGGUGAGACAUUUAUUAACUAUCCUGUGCCUCAGCUUCGCCACUUAUAAAAUAACUUACCAAUACCCAGUUUCCCUACCUUCCCAUUUCAGAGCAGAC
rnacentral:lncRNA from 1 species